UACGAAGGGGGCUAGCGUUGCUCGGAAUCACUGGGCGUAAAGCGCACGUAGGCGGAUCCUUAAGUCGGGGGUGAAAUCCUGGAGCUCAACUCCAGAACUGCCUUCGAUACUGAGGAUCUCGAGUCCGGGAGAGGUGAGUGGAACUGCGAGUGUAGAGGUGAAAUUCGUAGAUAUUCGCAAGAACAUCAGUGGCGAAGGCGGCUUUCUGGACCAAUACUGACGAUCAGGUGCGAAAGCGUGGGGAGCAAACAGG
rnacentral:rRNA from 1 species